GACAGAGGGUGCAAACGUUGUUCGGAAUUACUGGGCGUAAAGCGCGUGUAGGCGGCCCUGUAAGUCGGAUGUGAAAUCCCACGGCUCAACCGUGGAAGUGCAUUCGAAACUACAGGGCUAGAGUCCUGGAGAGGAAGGUGGAAUGCUUGGUGUAGAGGUGAAAUUCGUAGAUAUCAAGCGGAACACCGGUGGCGAAGGCGGGCCUUAGCUGGACAGUGACUGGACGCUGAGACG
rnacentral:rRNA from 1 species